GACGAACGCUGGCGGCGUGCUUAACACAUGCAAGUCGAACGGAAAGGCCCUUCGGGGUACUCGAGUGGCGAACGGGUGCGUAACACGUGGGUGAUCUGCCCUGCACUUUGGGUUAAGCCUGGGAAACUGGGUCUAAUACCGAAUAGGACCACGCGCUUCAUGGUGUGUGGUGGAAAGCUUUUGCGGUGUGGGAUGGGCCCGCGGCCUAUCAGCUUGUUGGUGGGGUAAUGGCCUACCAAGGCGACGACGGGUAGCCGGCCUGAGAGGGUGACCGGCCACACUGGGACUGAGAUACGGCCCAGACUCCUACGGGAGGCAGCAGUGGGGAAUAUUGCACAAUGGGCGCAAGCCUGAUGCAGCGACGCCGCGUGAGGGAUGACGGCCUUCGGGUUGUAAACCUCUUUCAAUAGGGACGAAGCGCAAGUGACGGUACCUAUAGAAGAAGCACCGGCCAACUACGUG
rnacentral:rRNA from 1 species